rnacentral:rRNA from 1 species
CACUGAAUGUCCUAGGGGGUAUUGCACCUACCGAAGACUAUCAAACUCCGAAUGCCGUCAUCUUAUACUUGGGAGUCAGACUGUGGGUGAUAAGAUUCAUAGUCGAAAGGGCAACAGCCCAGAUCGUCAGCUAAGGUCCCUAAAUGUAAGUUAAGUGGUAAAGGAUGUGGGAUUGCACAGACAACCAGGAUGUUGGCUUAGAAGCAGCCACUCAUUCAAAGAGUGCGUAAUAGCUCACUGGUCGAGUGAUCCUGCGCCGAAGAUUUCCGGGGCUAAAACUUACUACCGAAGCUACGGCAUCAGUAAUGAUGGGUAGGGGAGCUUCCCAUACGGGUUGAAGCAUGACCGUAAGGACAUGUGGACAGUAUGGGAGUGAGAAUGUUGGCAUGAGUAGCGAGAUGUGGGUGAGAAUCCCACAGGCCGUAAACCCAAGGUUUCCAGGGGAAGGUUCGUCCGCCCUGGGUUAGUCGGGACCUAAGCUGAGGCCGAAAGGCGUAGGUGAUGGACAACAGGUUGAUAUUCCUGUACUACCGAUAACCGUUUGAGAGAAGGGAUGACACAGUAGGAUAAGCUAAGCACACUGUUGGUUAUGUGUGCCCAAGCAUUGAGGCAGUCAAAGUAGGCAAAUCCGCUUUGAUAAUGCUGGGAUGUGAUGGGGAGCGAAAUUUAGUAGCGAAGUAGCUGAUUUCACACUGUCAAGAAAAGUCUCUAUCGAGGUUAAAGGUACCCGUACCGCAAACCGACACAGGUGGGUGAGGAGAGUAUCCUAAGGCCAGCGAGAGAACUGUUGUUAAGGAACUCGGCAAAAUGACCCCGUAACUUAGGGAUAAGGGGUGCCACCAUCAGGUGGCCGCAGAGAAUAGGCCCAAGCGACUGUUUACCAAAAACAUAGGUUUCUGCUAAGUCGCAAGACGAUGUAUAGGAGCUGACGCCUGCCCGGUGCUGGAAGGUUAAGGGGAUCUGUUAGAGCAAUCGAAGCAGUGAACUUAAGCCCCAGUAAACGGCGGCCGUAACUAUAACGGUCCUAAGGUAGCGAAAUUCCUUGUCGGGUAAGUUCCGACCCGCACGAAAGGCGUAACGAUUUGGGCACUGUCUCAACAACAGACUCGGUGAAAUUGUAAUUCCGGUGAAGAUGCCGGAUACCUGCGACAGGACGGAAAGACCCCAUGGAGCUUUACUGUAGCUUGACAUUGGGUCUUGGUACUACAUGUACAGGAUAGGUGGGAGGCUUUGAAACCAGGACGCCAGUUUUGGCGGAGCCAUCCUUGGGAUACCACCCUUGUAGUACUGGGACUCUAACCAUAGGCCAUGAAUCUGGUCUUGGGACACUGUCAGGUGGGCAGUUUGACUGGGGCGGUCGCCUCCCAAAAGGUAACGGAGGCGCUCAAAGGUUCUCUCAGUACGGUCGGAAAUCGUACGUAGAGUGUAAAGGCAAAAGAGAGCUUGAUUGCAAGACAUACAGGUCGAGCAAGGAUGAAAAUCGGACUUAGUGAUCCGGUGGUUCUGCGUGGAAGGGCCAUCGCUCAACGGAUAAAAGCUACCCUGGGGAUAACAGGCUUAUCUCCCCCAAGAGUCCACAUCGACGGGGAGGUUUGGCACCUCGAUGUCGGCUCAUCACAUCCUGGGGCUGUAGUAGGUCCCAAGGGUUGGGCUGUUCGCCCAUUAAAGUGGUACGCGAGCUGGGUUCAGAACGUCGUGAGACAGUUCGGUCCCUAUCCGUCGCAGGCGUAGGAAAUUUGAGAAGACCUGUCCUUAGUACGAGAGGACCGGGAUGGACGUACCUCUGGUGUACCAGUUGUCCUGCCAAGGGCAUGGCUGGGUAGCUAUGUACGGAAUGGAUAAGCGCUGAAAGCAUCUAAGCGCGAAGCCAACUUCAAGAUAAGAUUUCCCACCGCAAGGGUAAGACCCCAGAAAGACUAUCUGGUUGAUAGGUCGAAGGUGUAAGUGCAGCAAUGUAUUUAGCUUAUCGAUACUAAUAGGUCGAGGACUUGACCAA